rnacentral:sRNA from 1 species
GAAAUUCAUUCUGGAUUUAUGACAUUGUGAGGAAUAGUUGCAAUGUCUUGCAGGUCUUGUGUCUAUAAGAAUGAUCAAGCUGCAAAGGAUAAUCCAACUAAAAGUCUUCAGGAAGAAGAACCGUGUCCAAGGUUUGCCCAUCAGCUUGUAUACGAUGAGCUACACAAGGUUCAUUACUUAUUUGGUGGGAAUCCAGGAAAAUCUUGCUCUCCAAAGAUGAGAUUAGAUGACUUCUGGUCACUGAAGUUGUGUAGACCUUCAAAAGAUUAUUUACUGAGGCAUUGCAAGUACCUCAUAAGAAAACACAGGUUUGAAGAAAAGGCCCAAAUGGAUCCCCUUAGUGCUCUGAAAUAUUUACAAAAUGAUCUUUAUAUAACUGUGGAUCAUUCAGACCCAGAAGAGACAAAAGAGGUAAAGAAAGGUGGUAAUAAAUUUCAGAAAUUAAGUAUUUUUAAAUGUCUUCCUAACUUAUAUUUAAUGAUUUUGCUCUUGAGUGUGUAAAGGAAAACAAAGAAAAUAUGAUGACAUCAGUAAUCUUUAAAAUGUCACAGAGCAGGUGAAAUAAAAAUUGAAUAGGCAUGUUUUCGUGUGAUAAGAUUCAAGUCACCAAAAACCCUUGGUCCAUUCAGAAAAGGAUUAUCAGGU